GAUGGCGUGGGAGGCAGGGUUUGGGAGACCUGUGGGGGGCUUGGGAUGUAAUGAAGGGGGUGGUGAGGGCUUGGGGAACAGGAUGUGGGUUCUGUGGUGGGCUGGAGAAGGCAGCUGUGGGGGGUUUGUGGGGAUGUUGGGGAGUAGUGAGGGCCUGGGGGUCAGAACUCCAUGGCGGACAGCAGUGGGAUGCAGGGUUUGGGGGCCACAGGGUUUGGGGUCUAUGUGGGGGCUUUGGGGCUGUGUAGGAAGUCGGUCGGAGGGCUGGGGUGCUGUGCAAGGACAAUCUUGGGGUGUGGCUGCUCCCUGGGGAGGGGUUGGGCCCACAGCAGGGUGGGGGAAUGGGGGGAGAGCUGAGUGGGGCCAGUGGGGUGUAAGGAGUGAGCCAUGUGGUGGGGAGGGGGCUGCAGGGCCAGCCCCAGGGCCAACAGCCAGACCAGGACGUGGUUCUUGCUGUGAGUGUCCCAGAACUUUGUGUGUCACAGGAUUUCCUGCCGGGGCUCAGCCCCAGAAAAGCCACAGCCCCAGAUGGUGACACGAGUGGGACUCGGUGCUUCCAUUCCUGAGGUGAGGGAGCAGCAGGUGGCUGGACCAGGAGGUGACUGCAGGACGGUGAGAGCUGCUCUUGCAGCUUGGUUAUACCUGUGUGGUCAUUUUGGGUUAUCACAGGAUCAUAGAUGGUUUUGGGCUGGAAAGGACCAUAAGGAUCAUCUCCUUCCACCCACUGCCAUGGGCAGGGACACCUUCCACUAUCCCAGAUUGCCCCAAGCCCCAUCCAGCCUGGCCUUGGACAUGUCCAGGGAUGGGGCAGCCACAGCUUCUUUGGGCACCCUGUGCCAGGGCCUCCCCCACCCUCACUAAUUCCCGAAUACCCCAUCUAACCCUUCCCUGUGCCUGUUGAAACCAUUCCCCCUUGUCCUGGCACUGCAUGCUCUUGUAAAAAGUCUCCUUCCACCUUUCCUGUAGGUUAUAGAAAGUAGUUGUCCCUAACUGAAUGGUGAACGUGAAUAAAAUCUAUUUUUCAAAGUUGA